rnacentral:rRNA from 1 species
CCUACGGGAGGCAGCAGUGGGGAAUAUUGCACAAUGGGGGAAACCCUGAUGCAGCGACGCAGCGUGAGUGAUGAAGUAUUUCGGUAUGUAAAGCUCUAUCAGCAGGGAAGAAAAUGACGGUACCUGACUAAGAAGCUCCGGCUAACUACGUGCCAGCAGCCGCGGUAAUACGGAGGGGGCAAGCGUUAUCCGGAUUUACUGGGUGUAAAGGGAGCGUAGACGGCUAAUCAAGUCAGAAGUGAAAAGCCAGGGCUCAACUUUGGGACUGCUGUUGAAACUGGGUAGCUAGAGUGCAGGGGAGGUAAGCGGAAUUCCUAGUGUAGCGGUGAAAUGCGUAGAUAUUAGGAGGAACACCAGUGGCGAAGGCGGCUUACGGGACUGCAACUGACGUUGAGGCUCGAAGGCGUGGGUAGCAAACAGGAUUAGAUACCCCAGUAGUC